rnacentral:rRNA from 1 species
UGGAGAUGGCGACCGGCGCACGGGUGAGUAACACGUAUCCAACCUGCCGAUAACUCGGGGAUAGCCUUUCGAAAGAAAGAUUAAUACCCGAUGGCAUAAUUAGACCGCAUGGUCUUAUUAUUAAAGAAUUUCGGUUAUCGAUGGGGAUGCGUUCCAUUAGGCAGUUGGUGAGGUAACGGCUCACCAAACCUUCGAUGGAUAGGGGUUCUGAGAGGAAGGUCCCCCACAUUGGAACUGAGACACGGUCCAAACUCCUACGGGAGGCAGCAGUGAGGAAUAUUGGUCAAUGGGCGCAGGCCUGAACCAGCCAAGUAGCGUGAAGGAUGACUGCCCUAUGGGUUGUAAACUUCUUUUAUAUGGGAAUAAAGUUUUCCACGUGUGGAAUUUUGUAUGUACCAUAUGAAUAAGGAUCGGCUAACUCCGUGCCAGCAGCCGCGGUAAUACGGAGGAUCCGAGCGUUAUCCGGAUUUAUUGGGUUUAAAGGGAGCGUAGGUGGACAGUUAAGUCAGUUGUGAAAGUUUGCGGCUCAACCGUAAAAUUGCAGUUGAUACUGGCUGUCUUGAGUACAGUAGAGGUGGGCGGAAUUCGUGGUGUAGCGGUGAAAUGCUUAGAUAUCACGAAGAACUCCGAUUGCGAAGGCAGCUCACUGGACUGCAACUGACACUGAUGCUCGAAAGUGUGGGUAUCAAACAGGAUUAGAUACCCUGGUAGUCCACACAGUAAACGAUGAAUACUCGCUGUUUGCGAUAUACAGUAAGCGGCCAAGCGAAAGCAUUAAGUAUUCCACCUGGGGAGUAC